rnacentral:rRNA from 1 species
AACGAACGCUGGCGGCAUGCCUAACACAUGCAAGUCGAACGAGACCUUCGGGUCUAGUGGCGCACGGGUGCGUAACGCGUGGGAACCUGCCCUUAGGUUCGGAAUAACUCCCCGAAAGGGGUGCUAAUACCGGAUAAUGUCUUCGGACCAAAGAUUUAUCGCCUUUGGAUGGGCCCGCGUUGGAUUAGCUAGUUGGUAGGGUAAAAGCCUACCAAGGCGACGAUCCAUAGCUGGUCUGAGAGGAUGAUCAGCCACACUGGGACUGAGACACGGCCCAGACCCCUACGGGAGGCAGCAGUGGGGAAUUUGGGACAAUGGGCGAAAGCCUGAUCCAGCAAUGCCGGGUGAGUUAUGAAGGCCUUGGGGUUGUAAAGCUCUUUUACCCGGGAUGAUAAGGACAGUACCGGGAGAAUAAGCCCCGGCUAACCCCGU